rnacentral:pre_miRNA from 1 species
AGUGGAAUAACUGGGUCAAAUGGUGGUUCCAUUCCAAGUUUUCUGAGUAAUCUCCAUACUGCUUUCCAGAGUGGUUGCACCAACUUGCAGUCCCACUAGCAAC